CACGUAGGGUGCGAGCGUUGUCCGGAAUUAUUGGGCGGAAAGAGCUCGUAGGCGGUGUGUCGCGUCGGCCGUGAAAACCUGGGGCUUAACUCUGGGCGUGCGGUCGAUACGGGCAUCACUGGAGUUCGGCAGGGGAGACUGGAAUUCCUGGUGUAGCGGUGAAAUGCGCAGAUAUCAGGAGGAACACCGGUGGCGAAGGCGGGUCUCUGGGCCGAUACUGACGCUGAGGAGCGAAAGCGUGGGGAGCGAACAGG
rnacentral:rRNA from 1 species